AAAUUGUGCAGAGAGAGAUUUAGUUCCCACCUCUGCGCGAUCAUGAGGAUAUGGUGAAGAGGAUGGAGUUCGUGCCAUAACGUAAGAGGGCUCUGAAAGAGAAGGGGGAGCCGGUGACGCUGCUAAGGUAUUUGUAAGUUCAAACACCUCAGCAGGAUACUGUCUACGAGACUUAUGAGAGGUAUGAGAAACGGGUGGUUGUUGAUCG